UACGUAGGGGGCAAGCGUUGUCCGGAUUUAUUGGGCGUAAAGAGCGUGUAGGCGGUUUGGUAGGUCCGCUGUGAAAACUCGAGGCUCAACCUCGAGACGCCGGUGGAAACCAUCAGACUAGAGUCCGGAAGAGGAGAGUGGAAUUCCUGGUGUAGCGGUGAAAUGCGCAGAUAUCUCCAAGAACACCAGUUGCGAAGGCGGCUGACUGGACCCAUAUUGACGCUGAGGCUCGAAAGCAUGGGGAGCAAACAGG
rnacentral:rRNA from 1 species